UACGUAGGGCGCAAGCGUUGUCCGGAAUUAUUGGGCGUAAAGAGCUCGUAGGCGGCUUGUCACGUCGGUUGUGAAAGCCCGGGGCUUAACCCCGGGUCUGCAGUCGAUACGGGCAGGCUAGAGUGUGGUAGGGGAGAUCGGAGUUCCUGGUGUAGCGGUGAAAUGCGCAGAUAUCAGGAGGAACACCGGUGGCGAAGGCGGAUCUCUGGGCCAUUACUGACGCUGAGGAGCGAAAGCGUGGGGAGCGAACAGG
rnacentral:rRNA from 1 species